ACACUGUCUGGUCCAUUUCACCCUUAGCCGCUGUGUCUCAGGGGCAGGACUGGUUACUGUUGAUGAUCAAAGAGUGUUGAGGACAGGCCUUUUUGGAGGUUUAUGCCAUGGACAUUUGUGGUAUCAACCAAACACUGCUGAUCAGUGUGGAGGUGAGUGUUUAUUUUGAGAAAUACUGUAGGUUACCCUCAUUUUAGAUCCUAAUGUCAACAUCCUUCUUGCCUUAGGUGUCAACAGUGUGGUUUGUAUGUGUUUUCACUGUGUCAUCCGUGAACAGUGACAGUGAAAGAGCUCUUCCUGCCUUCCCUCUGGACUGGAGCAUCCGUAUCAGGGCUCUAUACUAUGAUAUACAAACACUGGUCACAGCUAACAGGUCAGUGAGGCAGAUGGGAUGUGUCAUCAAGUGAGAUCCUUCAAAUGAACUCUGAGACUGGAGUAGCAUUUGCAAAGAAUUCUUGGACAGUGGUGGUUUACUACAGGCUAGAAGGGGGACAGCAAACCUUCAGAGAGCUCAAUGCAAUCUAGACCAGUGGGAGGCCCUAGAGAAGAAACUACAUCCUGAGGCAGAGCUACUGUGCUCGCUACACUUUGGCGCCACCUAUCCAGAGAAGAGAAUACUGCAGGCUAUCUUUAAUGCAACACCCUUCUACAAUUCAUACACUGCUCAGUACAGCAGGAGGAUCUCUGUGCAGCCCCAGUCAGACUCCAUCCUCCAUCUCCUGGCCACUCGGUCUCUCUCCAUCCAUCUGUCUGCCAGUCUGCCCCAGCUGCCCUGCUGUCGCUUCCUCAGUCACCCCCUUCUUUUCAGUCUUCCCUUCAGCUCCCAUACAUGCCAGCAUUUCACCGUCCCAGCAGCAUGUGGCUGAAAUCAGAGUGUUUGGCACCACAGACAUGCUCAGCACACUGAAGGUUCAGUCAUACACCCCAGACAUUGUGUUAUCUGAUGUGGUCUGGUCAGAUGAAGACCCCACCCUCCUCCUUAUGUCAGUCUAUCCAACCUCACAUUUCCUGGAUCACAUACCAUCUAUUGCAAGCAUUACCCUAUCCACAAACCUCUCUCCGCAAAAGCACUUUGUGUUGGUUACUAGAGUGAUGGACAACCUGGAGUCAGGUCAUCUUGGAACAUAUUCUGGGCACUUGUUCAUUUCAGUAUUUGCUGUUUGCUGUACUGGCCGCUGCUGCACUUGUCAUAAAUAG
ensembl:lncRNA